GCCUGGCUGGCUCAGUCAGUGGAGCAAGUGAUUCUUGAUCUCAGGGUUGUGAGUUUGAGUCCCAUGUUGGGUG
rnacentral:tRNA from 1 species